AAUAUUGGACAAUGGGCGCAAGCCUGAUCUAGCCAUGCCGCGUGAGUGACGAAGGCCUUCGGGUUGUAAAGCUCUUUCGGACGGAAAGAAAUCGCGCAGUACAAUACCCUGCGCGGAUGACGUUAUUGUCAUAAAACGCAACCGCUAACUACGUGCCAGCAGCCGCGGUAAUACGUAGGGUGCGAGAGUUAAUCGGAAUUACUGGGCGUAAAGCAUGCGCAGGCGGUUGAUUAAGACAGGCGUGAAAUCCCCGGGCUUAACCUGGGAACUGCGCUUGUGACUGGUCAGCUAGAGUACGGCAGAGGGGGGUGGAAUUCCACGUGUAGCAGUGAAAUGCGUAGAGAUGUGGAGGAACACCGAUGGCGAAGGCAGCCACCUGGGCCGAUACUGACGCUCAUGCACGAAAGCGUGGGUAGCAAACAGG
rnacentral:rRNA from 1 species